CCCUUUUGUUUUCAGAAUGGUGGACAGGUGUUGGUCAUCGGAGUCAGCUGGUCUACCUACUUUUCUUCUUCUUUUCUCCCUUUCGUCUUCAGAUUUUUCAUUGUUGUUUUCUCUCCUUCUCCCGCUCUUGCCCAUCGCUUUCUUCCGUUUUUGAAUCUUUCCCGGUUUUCGUUUUAAGCCAGCCACUGCUUCUUCUUUGUGUCUAGCAGCGUGGUGUUAGUUUGUUGGGAAAAAACACUACCGGUGGUUUGCGCUCUUUCGGUUGUUUGGUUGGGUUCGAAGGUUUUUCUAUCUGUAAAGGGUGGAUUCUCCUGCUGUGUUUUGGAAAUUUGGGGGUUUUGCUACCAUCUUGGGUUUUUGGGUUUGCAAGCCGUGUUUGUUAUUGGUGAGUGUUUUCCUUUCGUCCCUUCAAGGGUUUUGGAGAGAUGAGUUUUGGUUUUUCCUGUGGUGUAAGAAUUGUGUUAUGCUGUAUUUUGUUUGUGUUUAAUGCUUUCAUGUUUUCUUUGAUUUAAUUUGAAGGAAAUUUGUGUUAUUUCCAAGUUAUGUAAAAACAAAAACUGAGUGAUUGAAAAAUGUAAAGAUCGAUUGACAGGCAAGAAAA